rnacentral:rRNA from 1 species
CCUACGGGAGGCAGCAGUGAGGAAUAUUGGCCAAUGGCCGGAAGGCUGAACCAGCCAUGCCGCGUGAAGGUCAGUGCCCUAUGGGCGUUAAACUUCUUUUGUGCGGGAGCAAUAAUGGUCACGUGUGGCCAGACGAGAGUACCGUACGAAUAAGCAUCGGCUAACUCCGUGCCAGCAGCCGCGGUAAUACGGGGGAUGCAAGGGUUAUCCGGAUUUAUUGGGUUUAAAGGGUGCGUAGGCUGUGAGGUAAGUCAGCGGUGAAAUGCCUCCGCUCAACGGGGUGAAGUGCCAUUGAUACUGCCUGGCUGGAAUGCGGAUGCGGUGGGAGGAAUGUGUGGUGUAGCGGUGAAAUGCAUAGAUAUCACACAGAACACCGAUUGCGAAGGCAUCUCACGAAUCCGCGAUUGACGCUGAUGCACGAAAGCGUGGGUAUCAAACAGGAUUAGAUACCCGGGUAGUC